rnacentral:rRNA from 1 species
GUGCCAGCCGCGCGGUAAUACGUAGGGGGCUAGCGUUAUCCGGAUUUACUGGGCGUAAAGGGUGCGUAGGUGGUUUCUUAAGUCAGGAGUGAAAGGCUACGGCUCAACCGUAGUAAGCUCUUGAAACUGGGAAACUUGAGUGCAGGAGAGGAAAGUGGAAUUCCUAGUGUAGCGGUGAAAUGCGUAGAUAUUAGGAGGAACACCAGUAGCGAAGGCGGCUUUCUGGACUGUAACUGACACUGAGGCACGAAAGCGUGGGGAGCAAACAGG